rnacentral:rRNA from 1 species
AGGGCACCACCAGGAGUGGAGCCUGCGGCUUAAUUUGACUCAACACGGGAAAACUCACUCGGCCCGGACACUGGAAGGAUUGACAGAUUGAGAGCUCUUUCUUGAUUCAGUGGGUGGUGGUGCAUGGCCGUUCUUAGUUGGUGGAGUGAUUUGUCUGGUUAAUUCCGAUAACGAACGAGACUCUAGCCUACUAAAUAGAUCGUCGGCUUACAAACGCCGGCGAGACUUCUUAGAGGGACAGGCGGUGAUUCAACCGCACGAAACAGAGCAAUAACAGGUCUGUGAUGCCCUUAGAUGUCCGGGGCCGCACGCGCGCUACACUGAAGUGAUCAGCGUGCUUUUUCAACCUACUCUGUCAAGAGUGGGGAACCCAAUGAACCUUCUUCGUGAUUGGGAUAGGGGAUUGUAAUUGUUCCCCUUGAACGAGGAAUUCCCAGUAAGCGCGAGUCAUAAGCUCGCGUUGAUUACGUCCCUGCCCUUUGUACACACCGCCCGUCGCUACUACCGAUUGAAUGUUUU